rnacentral:tRNA from 1 species
GCCGAGGUGGCCUAGCCUAGUUAUGGCACCAGGCUACACCCGACGGGGUGAAACUCAUAAUCCUGGGCUGGGAGGAGUAAUCUGGGGGUCGAGGGCGCGAAGCCUCUUGGAGGCGCGGCUCCCUCCCUCGGCACCA